CUUGCACGCUGGCGGCAUGCCUUACACAUGCAAGUCGAACGGUAACAGGUUAAGCUGACGAGUGGCGAACGGGUGAGUAAUGUAUCGGAACGUGCCCAGUCGUGGGGGAUAACUGCUCGAAAGAGCAGCUAAUACCGCAUACGACCUGAGGGUGAAAGCGGGGGAUCGCAAGACCUCGCGCGAUUGGAGCGGCCGAUAUCAGAUUAGGUAGUUGUUGAGGUAAAGGCUCACCAAGCCGACGAUCUGUAGCUGGUCUGAGAGGACGACCAGCCACACUGGGACUGAGACACGGCCCAGACUCCUACGGGAGGCAGCAGUGGGGAAUUUUGGACAAUGGGCGCAAGCCUGAUCCAGCCAUGCCGCGUGCGGGAAGAAGGCCUUCGGGUUGUAAACCGAUUUUGUCAGGGAAGAAAAGGUUCUGGCUAAUACCUGGGACUCAUGACGGUACCUGAAGAAUAAGCACCGGCUAACUACGUG
rnacentral:rRNA from 1 species